UAUUGGUUAAUGGGGGAAACCCUGAACCAGCAACGCCGCGUGAGGGAAGACGGUUUUCGGAUUUUAAACCUCUGUCCUCUGUGAAGAUUAUGACGGUAGCAGAGGAGGAAGCUCCGGCUAACUACGUGCCAGCAGCCGCGGUAAUACGUAGGGGGCAAGCGUUAUCCGGAUUUACUGGGUGUAAAGGGAGCGUAGGUGGCAGGGCAAGUCAGAGGUGAAAACCCGGGGCUCAACCCCGGGAGUGCAUUUGAAACUGUACAGCUGGAGUGCAGGAGAGGUAAGCGGAAUUCCUAGUGUAGCGGUGAAAUGCAUAGAUAUUAGGAGGAACACCAGUGGCGAAGGCGGCUUACUGGACUGUAACUGACACUGAGGCUCGAAAGCGUGGGGAGCAAACAGG
rnacentral:rRNA from 1 species